rnacentral:lncRNA from 1 species
AGAUGAUGGCAAGCUCUGUACCUUCGUGCGGUGUAUGUGAAUUUCAAAAUGUCUUUAAAACUGCAUCCAUAUGGUGUUCUGAUUGUGAUGAGGGCCUUUGUAUAGACUGCAGUAAGCAUCAUGGAAUUUCCAAAGCAACAAGAAAGCAUGUAACUAUACCGAUAUCAGAAUAUAAUGCAUUACCUACUUACAUUACAAACAUUAAGCAGACAUGUAGUACACAUAAUGAAAAUUAUCAGAUUUACUGCAAUGAACAUGAAUGUGCGUGUUGUAGUAAGUGCAUCGUUGAAAAGCAUACAAAAUGUCAAAAUAUUUCCAAUCUUGAUGAUGUUGUAAAAAACACAAAGGCUUCAAACGCUUUUUUUGAAAUUUGUGAAACAUUAAAUGAAGUUGCUGAAAAUAUAAAAAGGAUCCGUCAAGAUAAAAAUGUUAAUCUGAAAACAUUGUCCGAAAAAAGAAAACAGAUUGAAUGUGAAAUUCAACAGGUUCGGUUAAAUAUCAAUCAACAUCUCGAUAAACUGCAAGAGGACUUCAUAUCGGAAUUGCAUGAGACAGAAAGAAGAGAAAAAACAAAAAUCCAUCAGUUAAUGAAAGCUUUAGAUGAACAUGAAAGUAAAGUUGCAGAACACCAAGAGAACAUAGCAAACAUAAAACAACACGCAUCAGAUCUACAGACCUUCCUAUCUCUGAAGCAGCUUGAAGGUGAUGUUGAUGAAAACUGUCAGUUUAUUGAUUCACUUACUGAAAGUAAUGUUCUUAAUCGUGUGAAGAUCAAGUUUAACAUUAAUACAUCACUUACUGACAUUGCAAAUAGUGUUCUUGAGUUUGGAAAAGUAUUUAUUGACACCUCUAAUAGCUCAGUGAACAUUGUGAAGAAAAAACAACAAGAAGCUCAGUUGAUAGUACCUAAAGUAUCAUCAAUUGUGCCCAUUGAGAAUAUACAAGCCAAGUUAGAACAGACUAUAAAAACCGAAUCAUCUUAUAUUAGAGGAUGUUGCAUGUUGCCUGAUAGUAGGUUUGUAUUCACCUAUCCUGAUUUAGACAAAGUUACUGUAGUUAAACAAGACGGGACGGUUGACUUUGUUCUGAAUGUAACAGCAGCAAAUGGUAUAGCGUACAACGAUAAAGAUAACACUAUAGCGAUAUCAUCCUUUUGGAGUCGCAUUGGCAACAAAAUAACAAUAAUCGAUUUAUUUACACGAAAAGUAAAGAAAACUUUUUCAACGGGGGGACAAACCCAAGGAAUAGCAGUUACCAAUACAACACUUCUAUAUCACCUAUUCAACAAGGCAAUUCGAGCCAUGGAUCUGACUGACGAAUCAAUACGUGAUAUAACUACUGAGAACAUGGACACAUUAAUGAACAUAACAAUAUCUGGAAACAAAUUUUAUUAUUCCAGUUAUAAGUAUCAUACAGUAGUAUGCUGCGAUCUGCAAGGUACAACACAAUGGACAUUCAAAAAUGUAAAGGUUUUGAGUCAUCCAUUUGGAAUAUCAGCUGACAAUGAUGGUAAUGUGUAUGUUGUAGGAUGUGAAUCAAAGAAUGUCGUGGUUAUCUCCCCUGAUGGACAAACACAUAGAGAACUCUUAACUAAAAGAGAUGGUUUAGAUUCCCCAUGUUCAAUUAACUUUAGAAAGGAAACUAAUCAGUUAUUAGUUGCAAAUAAUUCUGAGAAAACGUAUUUGUAUAACGUAUCUAGUAAUUAAAUCACUUCAAUAUUUUAUCUCAAUGCAGUUUUGAAUGAAAUGGAGAAUAAAAGAUACAUAUAUACAAAAAAACACAUAGUUACAUGGAAACACAAUUGCUAGUAAAAUGUACUUUAUAGAACAGCCCGGAUUUUUCUUGAUAUUCAGCACUGAAACCAGGAAAUUGUUUGUUUAAACAAGCAUUUAAAUGAUAAGGUUAAGUGCUUCUCUCACAGUUGGUGUCCACUGAUGUUAUCAAAAAAAACACGGAUGGUCAUUUGGUCAAGAUUAUUUAACUUACAGUUUCUACUCUAAAUACAUUAUAUUUCUGAUCUGCAAAAUAUUUGCAAAGACGAUGUGUUUUCAAAUUUUUUGUUUCUCCAUAUUUUUGCAAUGUUUUGCAUCCAAAAUUCAAUAAAAAAAAAAUUCUUUGCAUAUUGACAAAAAUAAUAGGAUUUCUGCAGCUAAUUUGGAAAUACUCUGAUCAUAAUUUCAAGCAAAUUUGAUAUGUUUUAAUAAAACAGGUCAAUGUAAUUUUGUUAAAAUCAACCAGGACCAGGGCCAAUCAAGUGUAUCUUAUUAUAAUCCUGUGUAACUAAUUUCCUUUUUGAGGUGCAGAUAUAUAGAGUAAUUAAGAGUUGGUUUAUCCAGUGUAGGAUGUUAUGGAAUACAUUUUUCAUCAUUUACUUUAAUAUUUUUCUUUUAGAAAUUCUCACUUGCAUGCUUGUGGUAUAAUUAUUGUGUGUUUAUUUCUAUAUCAGAAAUCCAGAUCUGGUCUGUUUCUAAUAUUAAAGGAGGUGUUUCGGUUACGGUCAUGUAGACCAAGCAGAUAUCCCUAGAAUAUGGAACGCCAUGACUGCCUUAUGUUAAUGAUUAGCAUUAUAUGCAGUGCUCACACCAUUAUAUUAAGUGCUCACAACAUUAUAUUAAGUGCUCACAACAUUAUAUUAAGUGCUCACAACAUUAUACGCAGUGGUCAAAACAUUAUAUGCAGUGCUCACAACAUUAUAUGAAGUGGUCACAACAUUAUACGUUUUUUUGUUGUAUGAUGAGAUUGAUGUAUGAUGAGAUUGAUGUAUGAUGAGAUCAUUCGGUAAACUUCGUUUUUUUAGCGGACAUUACCGAAUCCAUGAUUGGUAAAUUACGGUAAUGCCCAGUAAACAAAUUUAAACAGUUAUUAAAGUUAUGUUAUCAUAAGGCAGUAUACAAUAUUUAAAACUGAUUGAAAUAAGUAAGGAAAAGAUGAAACUAAGAGGUGAAUGAUUGAAGUAGUUCUGUUCGUCGUAAGAAAUACGAAUGGCAAAAUGUAAGUUAAAUAAUAAAAUGUUUAUUUAAUGAAAUAUCGAAGGAAAAUUUGUAUGAUAUAUUCCUCGAGUUCAUUUCCUACUGAAGAACUUUAGCAAGGUGCCACUUUAUAGUCCGUACUCAGUUUUAAAAAGCUUAAUUACCUUUUAAAUAAAACAGUCAGCUUUCUAUAACACAUAGGUGCCAUAUUACGCUAGCUUAUAUAUGUCAUGAUAGAGUCAUUUUUGGCAUCGAUUUUCAGAAUUUGGCAUUUUUACAUGAAUAAGUAUCUAACAGAUACGGAAAAUGCAGUUUAAAGCAUUUCAUUGUAGGUGUUUAACAUAACUUUACAUCAAUUAUUCCAUUUUUUACAAGCUUUUUAGCACGCCAAGUAGUUUGUCUUCUAAGUAUGAUCAGCAGUCUUAUACAGAAAUAUAAACUUUCAUAAGAAAAAUUUACCCUUUCAAGACCCAGUUUAACAUCUUCAUUUAAAGUUAUUAUCUCGUAUGAAAACUGAGUUUGUGGGGAUGAAUAAAACGUUUACUACGUUUGUUCGUCAGUUUGCACGGUUAAUAUAUAUAAAAAGUGGUAUGCUUGCCAAUGAAACAACUUUCCACAAGAGACAAAAUGACAUCACAGAAAGUUACAACUAAACGGCCACAGUACGGCCUUCAACAAUGAGCAAAGCCCAUACCGCAUAGUCAGCUAUAGAAGGCCCCGAAAUGAUAAACGUAAAACAUUCCUUAUUUAUGUACAAACAAACGAUCGAAAAACUAACAUGUAUAUAACACAUUAACAAACGACAACCACUGAAAUAAAGGCUCCUCCUGACUUGGGACAGCCACAUAUAUACAGAAUGUGCGGCGGGUUUUAACAUGUUAGCGGGAUACCAACCCUCCCUCUAACCUGGGACAGUGGCGUAACAGAACAACAUAAGAAGGAACUAUGAAAAUCAGUUGUAAAAGGCUUAACUCAUCAGAUGGGUACAAAUAUAAAUACAUCUAACAAGAAAAUAGAGUGGACAUGGGCGGGUACUUGUAUAUCCCAACAACAAAAAGACACUAUAAGUACUGAUCUGAGAGUACUCGCAGUUACUGACAGCUAGUUCAAAGCCAUUAACAACUAAUAAAAAAAACUUUCAUCUAAGUUUUGCAUUUAGGUAAAGAUUGAAACAAACUGUGAGUAACAAAGAUUGAUUUACUAUUAUUGGAUAGUAACGAUUGUCCAUGAAAAAAGAGUCAUUUUCAAUGCUCUUCAACUUUGUACUUGUUUGGAUUUAUAAAUAUUUUGAUAUGAGCGUCACUGAUGAGUCUUAUGUAGACGAAACGAGCAUCUGGCGUACUAAAUUAUAAUCCUGGUACCUUUGAUAACUACUUGACCUAAAUUAAUUCUGGUUAAUGUACAUUAAAAUACAAAAUAUAAUCAACUACAAGUCAUAAAAGAAUAAUAUCUUUUAGAUCGCACUUCUUUGGUAACAAUGGACCUCGAAAAAAGAUUCAAAUUUGUGUUUAGGUCCAGAUGAUAGCAACAACACAUAAAAGAGGAAUGCUAUUUGUUGCUGAGCACUUCUUUGAUUUUAUUUUAAGUCCACACAAUUUUAUUUUGUAACAGAAGCACAAAAAAAACCGAUACUCGUUAUUAUGUCAAUAUAUAAUUGUAAUAUAAUUAUAUUAAUGGAAAACUUCUAGUAUUGUGUUACUGUGAACUCUUCUCGUUGUUGUUAUUGGCGUUCUAAUUCUUCUCACAUACAAGCUUGUCUAUAGUCUGGGGAUUUCUGUUAUUUUGCUACUAAUUUUUUUUCCAUAUCCCAUGUUAGGCAUCAAUGUAAAAGGUUGAAAAUUUCAUAUCUGAAUAUUUUUUUCGUUAUCUGGAAAGUUACUUUUGACGACGGAUCUUGAUUGUUUCUGUGGGGCUUCUUUCUCACGGAUAUGGAUCACUCACGGGAAAAAAUGGAAAAUUGUCGAAACUAAUUUGACUUUUAUGUAUAGCAUAGUCCGAAUUAUAUUCUUAAAAGAAUUUAAAUUCACAAACUUGUUAUUUUGCACCAAACAUUGCUGUGACAUGCCUUUUUAAAAUAUGAUUGAAAAUCGUAAAUGUUUAAGUAAAAUUCUAUUUGCAAUUGCUGACCAACAUUGAUAAAAAAAAAAAAUGCAAUGAACAGUAUACUUCUGACAGGUUCUCCUUGAAAAAUACUGGGUCAUAACAUAUCUUAAUUACAAUCCCGAGUAAUCUGAAUAUAUUUAUUCAGAAAUGCACAAUAUAUAGUGUAUAAAUUUACAUGUUUUAAUACGACUGCAAGAAAAAAUGAAAAAAAAGGUCGUAUAUUGCUAUCACGUCGUCGUCGUCAGCGUCGCCGAAGACAGAUGUUUCCCGGAUAAUAACUUUUGUUUAAGUAAAUAGGUUUAUAACCACUAAAGAAAGGUUGGGAUUGAUUUUUUUUUUUGGGGGGGGGGGGUUAUGGUCUUAACGGUUUAGGAAUUAGGAGCCAAAAAGGGGGUCGAAAUAAACAUUUUUGUAGUUUCCAGUCAUUACGUGUAUGAAUCUCUCUGAAAUUAUACCACAAGUUUCCAAACUACAAAAGGGAUGGUUAGGAUUUGCUCGGAGGGGUAGGUGAGGGGAGGUGUUAUGGCUCAAACCGUUUAGGAAUUAGAGGCAAAAAAGAGGGAAAAACAAGGGUUUCUUGGUUAAUGGUCAAUUGAGACAAUUUGAAACCAGUGUAAGGAAGGUUAAUCAAAUAUAUUAAGGUAAUCCAGACAUGUUUGAUCACCUCCCUUACACUGCUUUAAAAUUAUGUGUAAAGAUUUUUUUUUCCCAUAUCAGAUUUCAGAAAUUAAAAAGAAAAAAAGUGGGGGAUACAUUUUUCUUUUCUUGAGAUUGGGGUCAGUAUGCAACAGCAUAUUAUAUUGCACAAAACAACAAAAAAAGGAGGGUAUUUUUUUAAUUUUUGGAGGGGGUGGGGCAAUUCGCAACAGCGUAGUGCAAAAGCAAAAAAAUAAGUAUAAAUUCAAAUUAUAUAACCAAUUUUUAGUUCUUUGACUACAGUUAUUCUGUGACAGAAACCUAUUAUGUGUCAAAUAUUUAAUUACAUUCCAAAUUCAGACCUGAAUCAAGAGUGAAUAGUGUGUCCAUUUUUGUCCGAACGGUUCAGGGUUGGACCUCUGCGGUCGUAUGCAACUGCGUUCGGCGAAGCAAUUUAAUAAAGACUUAAAUAUAAUUUUAUAUACAUAUUUAAAAGUUGUGAAUAUGGUGAAACUGGUCCUCAAAAUAAGUUUAAACUGCCCUGGUGUGGAAUGAAUUUGUGUUAAAUUGAUCAUACUUCUUAAUUUACUUAUUUCAAUCAGUUUUCAAUAUUGUAUACUGCCUUAAUGAUAACAUAUAAUAAUAACUGUUGAAAUUUGUCUGCUGGGCAUUAACUUACCGUAAUUUACCAAUUAUGGAUUCGGUAAUUUCCGCUAAAAAAAGAAGUUUACCGAAUGAUCUCAUAAUACAUCAAUCUCAUCAUACAUCAAUGCAAUCUCAUCAUACAACAAAAAACGUAUAAUGUUGUGACCACUUCAUAUAAUGUUGUGAGCACUUAUAUAAUGUUUUGACCACUUCAUAUAAUGUUGUGACCACUGCAUAUUUAUAAUGUUUGGACCACUGCGUAUAAUGUUGUGAGCACUUAAUAUAAUGUUGUGAGCACUUAAUAUAAUGUUGUGAGCACUGCAUAAUGGUGAGCACUGCAUAUAAUGCUAUGAGCACUGCAUAUAAUGUUGUGAGCACUGCAUAUAAUGUUGUGAGCACUUAAUAUAAUGUUGAGAGCACUUAAUAUAAUGUUAUGAGCACUUAAUAUAAUGUUGUGAGCACUGCAUAUAAUGAUGUGAGCACUGCAUAUAAUGAUGUGAGCACUGCAUAUAAUGUUGUGAGCACUUAAUAUAAUGUUGUGAGCACUUAAUAUAGUGUUGUGAGCACUUUAUAUAAUGUUGUGAGCACUGCAUAUAAUGGUGUGAACACUGCAUAUAAUGUUGUGAGCACUGAAUAUAAUGCUGAUCAUUAACAUAAGGCAGUCAUGGCGUUCCAUACUAGAAUAUAUGUUUCCUUUCUUGUGAUAUUUAGAAUCAGUGGCGAAUCCAGAGGGGGGCGUACAAGGCGUACGCCUCCCCUUUGCUUGGACUUUUUUUUUUUUGUAAAAUGAUUAAUCAGACUUGCCUCGUGAACUUUGCCAUUUUCCGUGUAUUUAAUUUUUAUGUGACAAUUCUUUACUUAUAAAGAUAUUUUUGCUGGUAUUUACUGAUUAUGUCAAAAUCAUGUGAUUCGCUAUUAUGAAGUUGAACAAUGCAUAAAAAACCGUUACUCAUUCAUUUUUAAAUUAAAAUUACAGUAACGAUGCUUAGGCUGAGGAUGACAACCGUGAUACCUUUAAAGCGAUAACAGAUUGAGCAAGAAGGUAGUGACUUCAUUUUUACAAUUCAACCAAACAAAAAGUAAUACUCUGUUACACUUUCAUGAAAAACAAAUCCACAGCGAUAUUAUUUUCCUACAAAAAAUGUUUAACCCCAAACGCCCUGAGAAACGCCCCAGCCCAUUUUAAAAUAACAUGAUAGCUGAACAAUGAUCCUCAGUCAGUAUAAGCUCUAGAUAGAUUUAAAGUCUAAGGUACGAACCAUUUGAUUUGCGGUGACAGUCUAAGGUAUUUGAGAGAAAAAAAAUCUGACUCUGAUUUUUGCAUUGAAUAAAAAUUCUGGUCAAUUGGACAAGAUUAAUGAAAACAUUAAUCUUGUCCAUUUUUUUGCUAUUAGAAACGAAAAUUCCCAACAGAAUUAUUUAGAAUUAAUUGAACAUGAUGAAUAAAGAACGGGCGUAUUUGUUUGAUGCCGGGGUUUGCAUGUCUGACCGGAAUGUCUGUUAGCCGAACUGAUAUAUUGAAUACUUUUUUUCAAGACCAGACUACAACCUGCCUGCUGAGUGGGCUUUAUGUCUUCAUUAGUUGACCGUCAUUCAUAAAGUCGUUGUCAUUUCAGACUCAUUCGUAGCCUUUGGUUGAUUUGGAUCCCCUCAAUUCCCUUAAACAUAUCAACCUUAUUGGAAUAAAAACUGCUUGUUUGACGUUUUUAACUCGUGUCUGUGGUAUUGUAAAUUUUAUCGAAUUGCCCAAUCUGGAAUCUGUGAUGUUAUGCUAACUUAACAUACAACUAACGAGAAAUUUCCGCAUCAAAUAUAUCAGUACAUAGCUUUGGAUUCAUACUAUCAUUUUAUGAUAGACAAAUAAUAGGGAGAAUACAGCAUAAAAAUGUCCAACCCUACACUUUACAGCAACUAUAGAAUAUACAUGCCCCACGCCAGGAACCGCCGGUUUAAAAAGUGCACUUAUCUUAUGUUUUUUAGCCCAAAAAGGUCCCAAAAAUAUUCGCCUCGCUUCGCUCUUCAAUCUUUAAAACUUCGCCCCCCAUUUCCAAAUUCCUGGAUCCGCCCCUGAGAAUGGUUCAAAUUUGAUUUCACUUAUUGGAAUACUCAAAUAGCUAUUUUAAAACCAGUUGGAUCCCGGACAAAUCAAUGUAUGCACUGUAUGAAAAUUCUGCAUUUUUUUUAGGAUAUAAGGUUCAAAUAUUAUCUACUUCUAUUCACAUGCAAACGUAGAAGGGACCCUCCUCCCUUUAUUUUCCACUGAAUAGAGGGGCAUCAUGUAUAUAAUAAGCGACUUGUAUUGUUAUGUUGCAUUGAAAAAAGUAAGAUGAAAUGCUUAAAGGGGCACUAGCUGUCAAGUUCAUGUUCACCAAUUUGACUCAAAUUCUCAUAUUUUAUUUGUAACAAUGUAAAACAUUUUUCCAAACUAUCAAAAAUAUAACAUAAACAAUUUACAUGGUCUCAAUAAGAUUUAGUUUCGUUUUGUGUGAAUUUUAGAAAUGACGACUUCUAAUUAAAUUUCGAGUUGUCCUUCUAUGACCAUAUACGCGAUGUAAACAUAAACAUAGAUAGAUAGAUUAAGCAUCUCGUGCAGUUGGAGUUUUAUAGGUCUACUAAAUUUUGUGUUAUAGAUUAAAAAUGUUUUAUCGUCGUUUUUUCCUAAUUUAGACAUUUUUUUUGUGGAUCGAACCAGUCAGUUAAAUUAUUCACCUUUGUUUCACUUUCAUUGUUGACAUUCUUUUCCUUUAAAUAACCGUACACGGACUAUGCAUACGUUAUUCUAUCUCUUUCUACGGGGUUGAAUUGGAGUUCACAUGAAUACAGGUUAAUAAAAUUAACGGUACCAAUUUUCUUGCACCAGAUGCGCAUUUCGACAAUACAUGUCUCUUCAGUGAUGCUCGUGGCCAAAAUAUUUGAAAUCCAAAGCUUAUAUAAAAGAUGAAGAGCUAUAAUCCAAAAGGUCCAAAAAGUAUAGCCAAAUCCGUGAAAGGAACCAGAGCUUUGCAUGAGGGAGAUACAUUCCUUAAUUUAUAAUAAUUUCUAUCAUUUUGUAACAGUAAAUUUUAAUAACACAAAAAAAUCCGUAUUUUCAUGCCAGUACCGAAGUACUGGCUACUGAGGUGGUGAUACCCUCGGGGACUAAUAGUCCACCAGCAGAGGCAUCGACCCAGUGGUAGUAAUAAAAUUGCAAGUGAAUAAUUCAUUAUCAAUUUUUAUUAGCUUAAUUUGAAAAAUUUGAAUCAUUUUAGCAGCUAAAAAUGAAUUAUUAUUUAACUAUUUCACUUUCAUUAAUGUUUGAACAAAACAACAUUUAGAUUUUUUUAUAUAUCUCGUAGCUAGCUAUAUAUAGUGCCCCUUUAAAUAAGAGAAAAUAAGAUGAACUAUGAAAGUGUUUUCAAAUGAAAAUCAAACGCAAUAAUAAUAAACAGCUGUGUCAUGAGCGCAUGAUACCCCUGUCACGUUUUCAGAGAAUAAAGUUUAAUAACUUCUCAAUGUCAUAUCAGAAAUUUAUGAAAAACUAAAGGGAGGUUAUCUUAAUAGAUAUAAACCAAUCAACAAAGUUUUAUGGAAACUGCUCAAAGCACUUUAAAUGUGUUGUCUGAAAGCUGGAAAACCUAUUUGUUUCAAGAAUAAAAUCCGAUAACUCGGAAAUGUAAUAAACCUUUUUUUUUUAAUCAAAAGGAGGUUACGUCAAUAAAUAUAAAAAAAUCACCAUAGUUUCAUAAGAACUUCGGAAAUAAUUUUUGAGUUAUUUCAGAAAAUAGGAAUAUCCCCCGUUUUUAAUUAUUAAUUUGAUACCUCAUAAGUCAGAAUCAUAAAAUCGGAAAUUUAUAAAAAUCAAAAGGAAGAACAAUGUUUGGUUUAAGUGUUGUUGAGUUAAUGUCCGACAUGUUGACGAAGGAAAAACAGACGGACAACUGUAUACCUAAACUGUAUACCUAAAUAUGUCCUGUAAAUGGGCAAAAUAAGGGGGUUAUUAUCCCAAAUUUUCUUUUGUUUUAUGAACAAUUAAUUUAUUUAGAACUUUGUUUAUACAUUUCAGAAAUUUCCUUUUAUCUUUUAUGACAUAUUUUUAAUAUAAAUGUAAAGUUAAAAAGAAUAUUCAUUUCUUCAAAAUGACAACAAAUUAUCAAUCUAUUCUAUUUUAAAAAAAAAUGAAAAUUUAUAAAAUAUAUUAAAAGGUUAUAUUAUAUUCGUUUCACUGUAUCUGAACAUGAUUAAUAAAAAAAAACACUGACUUGAUGUCAAAAUCUUAUAUUGAAUAUUUAUAUGUAUAGAAGAUAUAUUUAUAUUUCAAGUAAUGUUGACUUUCUUAUCAUUUAAUCUGUGUGUAACAUCUGUGGGCAGUUUAUUAGGAAGAGUGAUAUAUAAAUUACAAGGACUUGAAACUGUGAAGCUAAUCAGUUGUGAAAUUUGAGAUUCCCUCAAAUCUGAGGGCAUUCUUCGGGCUGUACUAUAAAGUAAAUGUGUAGUAUGUUGUUAUUUCUUUUUUUGUAUUAAAUGUAAUACGUUCAGCUAGUAUUUUGUGUUUUACAGUUUUCAAACGUUAGAUGGUUUAAUCAGUGUUUAUAUGAUUUAUAUAAAAAAAAUAUUCAUCUUCUUUUUGGGUACAGAUGGAUUUUACAUAUAUUUGGUCAUGAAUAAAUAAACAGAUUUGAAAAACAACACUUGAGGUUCUGCCGACACAAAGAUAUCUGCAUAUAUGUAACAUAUAUGGUACAUACUUGGAACACUACCACUGAGGACUUGAUUGAUGAAUUAAACGAAUGAAACAUACAAAUGCACAAACAUACAUGAAAACACAAGUGAUAACUACUCUUAUUAAUUUGUAUUAUUUUAUCUUUUUUAUCUAUAAAGGAAUAACUGUAUGUUUUACAUUGUACAUAUACUGGUGAUUUAUUACCGGUAAUGUCUUGGUAAAAUGAGAGUGGUUGAUAAAAGGGUAACCUAAAAAGUAAAAUCACAAAAAUACUGAACUCCGAAGAAAAUUCACAAUGAAAAGUCCCUAAUUAAAUAGAAAAAUAGAAAAUUCAGCCACAACAAACAACUAGAUAACAAUUGUCAUAUUCCUGACAUUGUACAGGCAUUUUCUUAUGUAGAUAAUGGUGGAUUGGCUCUAGUUUUAUAGCUAGCUUAAACUCUCACUUGUAUGACAGUCACGUCAAAUUCCAACGAUGCGUGAAAAAACAAACCUAAAAUACCAUUAGUCACACUGUAUACUUCAUUAUUAUAGGCUGCACACCAUUUACAAAAAUUGAGUUGCACAAGAACCCACAUGUGGCUUAAAAAUCUCUAAAACUAAACAAAAACAAAUAUGACAUGGGUAGAAUUAUGCAGCAAGUCAAUAAACUCAUCAUAGAUGCCACGAUUAUAUUCUAUAUUUUCGCCAGACGCGCUUUCGUCUUCAAAAGACUCAUCAGUGACGUUCGAAUGCAAAAAAGGUAAAAAGGCCAUAUAAGGUACGAAUUUGAAGAGCGUUGAGGACAAAAAUUCCUAAAAUUUUGCCAAAUACAGCUAAGGUCAUAUAUUCCAGAGGUAGACCAGCCUUAGUUUUUCAAAAUUUUCGUAAACAGUUAAUUUUUAAAUAAAGGCAACAGUAGUAUACCGCUGUUCGAAAUUCAUAAAUCGAUUGAGAAAAAAAUAAACCUGGGUUACAAACUAAAACUCAGGAAAACACAUCAAAUAUAAGAGGAGAACUACGACACGACAGAAACACAACAUUAAAUUGUUUCACACACAGAAACGAACUAUAGUAUUACAAUGGCCAUUUUUCUUGGUACAGGACAUUUUAAUAAAAGAAAAAUGAUGGGUUGAAGCUGGUUUUUUGGCAUGCCAAAACUCCCGCUUUUAUGGCAAUGCAAAGGAUAUCAACAUCCCAGUAGUUAGCUCUUCAGUGUUUACAUGAAUACUUACUGUAUGGUCAUUUAAAUAAAUUUCCUGAUACAAAACUUUGAAUUUUUUUUAAAAACUAUGGAUUUUCUCAUCCAAGGAAUAGAUUACCUCGGCCGUAUUUGGCACAACUUUUUCGAAAUUUGGGCCACCAAUGCUCUGCACUUUUGUACUUGUUUUACUUCAUAACUAUUUUGAUCUGAGCAUCACUGAUUAGUCUUAUGUAAACGAAACGCGCGUCUGGCGUAUUAAAUUGAAACCUGGUACCUGUGAUAACUAUUUACACCACUGCGUCGAUGCCACUGCUGGUGGAUGUUGCGUCCUCGAGGGUAUCACCAGCCCAGAAGUCAGCACUUCGGUGUUGACAUGAAUACUAAUUAUAUGAUAAUUUUGAUAAAUUUCCUUUUACAAAACUUUGAAUUUUUCGAAAAUCUAAGGAUGUCCUUAUCCCAGGAGUAGAUUACCUUAGCUACAAUUUUUUGGAAAUAAACUCAUCAUAGAUACCAGGACUAAAUUUUGUAUAUACGCCAGACGCGCGUUUCGUCUACAAAAGACUCAUCAGUGACGCUUGAAUCCAAAAAAGUUAAAAAGGCCAAAUAAAGUACGAAGUUGAAGAGCAUUGAGGACAGAAAUUCCUAAAAGUUUGGCCAAUUUUGAGUCAUCAAUGCUCUUCAACUUUGUACUUGUUUUUCUUCAUAGAUAUUUUUAUCUGAGCGUCACUGAUGAGUCUUAUGUAGACGAAACUCGCGUCUGGAGUAUAUACAAAAUUUAGUCUAGCGUAUUAAAUUAUAAUUCUGGUACCUUUGAACACCAUUUACACCACUUGGUCGAUGCCACUAUUGGCAGAAGUUGCGUCCCCGAGGGUAUCACCAGCCCAGUAGACAGCACUUCAGUGUUGACAUGCAUACUAAUUGUAUGAUCAUUUUUAUAAACUUCCUGUUCCUUCGAAAAACUCAGAACUUUCCUAUCCCAGGAAUAGAUUACCUUAAGUUAGCCGCAUCAAGAAUGCUCUUCAACUUUAUACUUGUUUUGCUUCAUAACUAUUUUAAUCUGAGCGUAACUGAUGAGCCUUAUGUAGACGAAACGCGCGUCUGGCGUAUUAAAUUAUAAUCCUAGUACCUUUGAUAACUAUUUACACCACUGCGUUGAUGCCACUGCUGGUGGGUGUUUUGUCACCGAGGGUAUCAAAACUUUGAAUUUUUCGAAAAACUAAGGACUUUCCUAUCCCAGGAAUAUAUUACUUUAGCCGUAUUUGGCACAACAUAACAUGAUAGGACUACAAUACAAAUAAAUGGGAGAACAUAUAAAACAGAAAAACACACGAAUAAUAGCUAACAAAAGGUACCAGGUUUAAAAUGUAAUACAUCAGACGCGUCCACACAAGACUAAGCAGUGACGCUCUGAUGAAAAAAAGUUCGAAAGCCAAAACAAGUAAUAAGUUAAAGAGCAUCGAGGACCAAAAUUUCCAAAAAGUUGUGCCCAAUACGGCUAGGUUUUUUUCUGCCUGGGAUAAGAAUAUACUUAUUAUUUAGAAUAAUUCAUACAUUUGCAAACAGUAUUUUUUUUUUAUAAAACAAUGAAAAUAACAAUGCUAAUUCAUGUCAGCACAGACGUGCUGAAAACUGGGCUGGUGAUACCCUCGGGGAAUUUUAACUCCACGAGCAAUGGCAUCGACCCAGUGGUUGUUAAUAAACUCAUCAUAGAUAUCAGGAUUCAAUUUUAUAUUUAACCCAUUCGUGCGUUUCGUCUACCGUUUUCGCGUUUUCGCCAUAUUGAAUAUGAAAGUCGAAAACGGGAAAACGCGAAAUGGCAUUAUCCGGCCACCAUAAGAUAACGAUAAUAUAUUUCUUUUAUGAUUAAGUACGAGCGUUAGCGAGUACUAAUGAAGUCAGGGAUUAUCAUUCUCUUGGAUAUACUUAAUUAAUCUAUUUAUUUGUAAUACUUGUACAAUAAGUAUUAUAAAUAGUAUUAUAGAAGCACUUUGUUUAUAUAUAUGGAAUAUUGUAAAGUGCUCAAUGCACAAAUGAUAUUUGUGUUUGGUUGACUUGUAUUCAAGAAUUAGUUUCAUUGUCAGUGCAAUGUUUGUAAAAAGUAAACACACAAAAAUACUGAACUCCGAGGAAAAUUCAAAAAGGAAAAUCAAAAAUCAAAAGGCAAAAUCAAAAGUCCAAACACAUAACAACUGUCAUAACAACUGUCAUAUUCCUGACUUGGUACCGGCAUUUUCUAAUGUAGAAAAUGGUGGAUUGAACCUGGUUUUAUAGCUAGCUAAACCUCUCACUUGUAUGACAGUCGCAUCAAAUUCCAUUACAUUGUCAACGAUGCAUGAACAAAACAAACAUACUCAAAGAGUAAAAAUGUCAAAAAUAGGGGUACAACAGUCAAUAUUAUGUUAUCAUCUUAAUAUCACUACAUAAACAACAAAUGUAACAAAGUAGCACAAAAAGGCAUACAUCAAAUUUAACAUUCUCAUUUUGCUUAUCUUAUACGGCUGAAUUUAUCUAUGUAAAGUUACCCAAAUGAAAGUUUUCAUUACUGGUGUAAAAUUGCGCGUUUGAAAUUCGCACAGGUAGACAUAAAAAUAUUUUGUCGUAUACGGCAUACAUAAUGCAGACUCACGUAAAGUAGAUAUAACAAAAAACAGACUUACAGCAAAAUAAUAAAUAAAUAAUGUGUGUUCAAGUAUGACGGGACACAUAAGUACAGUUUCACGUCAAAUACGGCUGAAUUUUCUAUGUAAAGUCUACCCAUAAAUGAUAGAAGUUUUCAUUACUGGUGUAAAAUGCGCGUUUGAAAUUCGCACAGGUAGACAUAAAAUAAUUUUGUCGUAUGAGGCAUACAUAAAUGCAGACUCAGUAAAGUAGAUAUACAAAAACCAGAUUAACAGUAAAAGUAAUAAUAAUAAAUAAAAUAAUGGUGUGGUUCAAAGUAUGACGGAUAAUAAGUACAGUUUCCGUCAAAUGUAUAUCAUAAAAAACAGACUAAACAGAAAAGUAGUCUUAUUGAAUAAAAUAGUUAGUCAUUCAUAGUAUGUCAAGAUCCUUAAGUAAAAUUAAAAUCAAUAAAUGAAAUAAUUUUGCCGUCAAAGUAUGUGGUUUUACGUAACCACAGAGUCACUUCAAAUGAAUAUCUAAAAAAGACAUAUAAAAGAAUACUAUAAUACGUAAUUAAGAGAUACAAACGUCAGACGCAAAAUCUAUACUUCAAGACAUCUUGUAUUAUUUGUGAAGUUGAUACGGAAUAUUUAUCAACAAGUUCUGGGUAUCUUCGAUGAACUUUUUUAGAAAAAGGACGAGACGUUCUUUGACAUACCCUGGUUCAUCAAUUUCUGCUCAGACACUGGUGACGUUUUACAAAGUCUGCAUAUGAGCUGCAAGCUCUUGAAUACCUAAUAAGUUGGGAAAUGUAUAUUCCAUAUGCAGGUGAAGUUGGUAUAUUACUACUAAGGUGGGAAUGAUAAUUUCAAAUUAAAUCGUCUCGUUUGUCAUAGAUUCUGGUACUGAGAUGACUGUGUAUGUCAAAUUCGAGGUAUAAGUCUAAAAUGAGGCAGAGGAAGCCGUGUCUGUGGUCUCUUAAUUUCUAGUCUGGUGGGUAUAUUAAUGGAAUCCAAUCAGAAAAGUUCGAUUGUUAAUGGAAAGAAAUCAUCAUAUAUUCUGAAAUGAAAUUAAAUAACCUGGCUUCUUUGAUCUUCUUGUUUUUGACAAGUGUCUGAAGGAACUCCGAUUCAUAUGAAAUAAGAGAGGUCGGCAAGGAGAGGCGCACAGUCGUUCCAUAGGAAUGCCGACAAUUUGUUGAAAAGUCUACUCCAAAUUCAACAAAAUUGUUGUCAAUAAGAAUACCAGCAUACUGACACUUGUUCCUCUGUGUAGUAUUUUACCCUUUUGUUCCUUAUUAACAAAAUAUGCCUUAUGUAUCCAAAGUGAUAAAUUUAUAGCGUAUGUACCAUUUUUAUGAUGAAAGCAGUGAAUUAUUUCUUUUAGACGGGUUUCAUUUCACAUGGGAAUGGUUGUAUACAAGUGUGAAAAUCAAAGUUUUAAAAAACUAAUUCAGAAAAAGACCGAGAUUUAAAAUACCAGAAGUUCUUUAGAGUUUUCAGAAUCCACAUAUGGUUAAUACCACACGUGAGUAAACAGUUUCACAGUAUAUCUGAAGACCCUCUUUAAUGCGGACAGAAUUUUAGUCAAUCUAGAGACAAUUCUUUAGUGAACAAGCAGAUGAGCCGGCAAUGUACCGUUGUUUGUACGGAAUUUUGUGAAGUUAGGUAUCCAAUACAACAAGGUAAGUCCUCCGAUUUGUUGUUCAAUGCAAUGUUCAUAGAAGCAGAAGGAGCUUAUGAAUUCAGCGCAAAAUCACAUCCUUGUCAAAUGAUAUGUUUUUGUAUGGGAUACCUGAGUGUUCAUUUAUUCCUAAUUUUUUAUAAGUAUUACGAUUUACAUACAAAGACAACAUUAUUUUGAAGCUUUGUCCGCAGCACAACAACAACUACUUAUCUUGAAGAGUUGAUAGACAUUCACAGCCUCUUUGUCACUGAAAAUGGACUUAGUCGAUCAUUCACACAGUUUUUCAACUUAUGAAUGCGACGUUUUAUCAGAGACCUGAUUGUUUUGACCCAUUCUGACAAAGUGUCCAGUUGCACUUCUUCUCGCUUAGCCCAUGCUCUGGCGUAGUUCUCAAUGGAAUCCAUAAUAUUUUUGAAGUUUAUGGUUCCAAUUGAUGUGUUGGGGUCUCUUAAACUUAGGACCACGAGAAAUCACCUUUCGGAGAUUUUCAUGUUGAAUUAUGUUUAGAUCCCAGUAAUAAACAUGGCCAGAGGGCUGUAAUUGUAAGGCGAGUUGGAACAGUCACAUGUCAGAGGUUUAUUUAGGUAUUGUUCUAAAUCAAGGUCCUGUAAUGCUUGUUUAUAGUUAAAUAUUUUGGGUACAAUGCUAUAAUCGAUGCAUAACUUCUCAUUUAUGUAUUAGCUACACAUGUUACACUGAUUUAAGAACUCUCUUACUAUAUUGAAAAUAUCUUUUUUUUAAAUGCUAUAGAUAUUUCUUACACAACAAUACAAAGAAAAGGUAGGAGUUGUAUGUUUCCUGGUUGAGAUUAUUAAUGUAAAUCAUGUCAUGUUUAGUGAGGAAUUUUCCUUUUUUUUAAUGUACCGUUAAAAAAUAUUUAAAUACAUUUCAGUUACAACUACGUUUAUUUCACAUCCACUUUUGUGUCCAGCUUUUAACAUUCAAUACUAUUUCAUUAUGACAUGGAAAUGUUCAAAUGUCUUAAAAAAAAAUUAAUGUUUACAAAACUUAAAUUUAAAUAUCUGGUUGUACAAUGAUCACUCGAAAGUGUAAACAUGUAUUAAAUUCGUUAGACAAUAUUUGGCCAUGUUUAAUGAGUAUUUGGCUUUACAUUUCUAUAAAACAUGACCCAGUUUUGUCUUACCUAUAUGUAAACCAUGCUCUUAGGAAGGGGGUGUUCUAUCAUUUGGGUCUAUUUACAGUUCAAAACAAAGUGCUUUUAUAAUGAGUUACAACCGAUGUUACAACUUCCCUCAAGAACUUUAUUACAUUGAAAGGACUUAUCACACAGUGAUUGACUAUGACUAAGAAUAAAAUCGUGAAACAAACAAAAACUUCAAUUGAUACACCCUGGUUCAUUAAAUUUUGUUCUUUGAAUGAAAUUAUAAUAUAUUAAUUAUUAAAAAAAUAUGAACAAAGCAAUGAAAAAAAACUUUAAGAUAUAAAGUAAGUAACCUACAAUGCACAUGUACACAUUUAAAUCUUUUUAUAAAUGGAUAUCUAAAACUUUAUUGCCAAUUCAUUAAAAAAAAAAUUACAAGAACAUUUUAAAUAUCUUAAAAGUAAAGAUUUAUUUAGGAGAUAAUGGCAAGCUCUGUACAGCCAUGCAGUGUAUGUGAAAAUCAACAUGUCCUCAAACCUGCGUAUAUAUGGUGUUCAGAUUGCGAUGAGGGGCUCUGCAUAGACUGCAGUUAGCAUCAUGGAAUAUCCAAGUCAACACGAAAACAUGUCACUGUACCGAUAUCAGAAUAUCGUGAACUGCCGUCUUACAUUACAAAUAUUAAGCAAACAUGUAGUACACAUGAUGCCAAUUAUUUGAUUUACUGCAAUGAACAUGAAUGACCUUGUUGCAGUAAGUGCAUUGUUGAAAAACACUCAAAAUGUCAAAAUAUUUCCAAUCUGGAUGAUGUUGUCAAAAACACAAAGAUUUCAAACGCUUUUUUGGAAAUUGAUGAAACAUUAAAUGAAGUUGCUGAAAACAUCAAACGGAUCCGUCAAGAUAAAAAUGGUAAUAUGAAAAAAUUGUCCGAAAAAAGAAAACAGAUCGAAUGUGAAAUUCGACACGUUCGGUUAAAUAUCAAUCAACAUCUAGAUAAACUGCAAGAGGACUUCAUAUCAGAAUUAAACGAAACAGAAAGAUGAGAAAAAACUAAAAUCCGUCAGUUAUUGAAAGAUUUAGAUGAGCAUGAAAGUAAAGUUGCAGAGCACCAAAAGCACAUAGCACACAUAAAAGAAUACGCAUCCGAUCUACAGACCUUUCUUGCACUAAAACAACUUGAAUUGGGUGUAAUUGAAAACGGUCAGUUCAUUCAUUCACUUACUGAAAGUGAUGUUCUUGACCGUGUGGAGAUCAAGUUCAACAUAAAUACAUCACUGACAGACAUUGCAAAUAGUGUUCAUAAUUUUGGAAAAGUAUAUAUUGACAACUCCAGUUACGUAGUGAAAAUUGCAAAGAAAAAAACAACAACAAGCACAGUUGAUUUUACCUAAAGUAUCACCCAUCGUGCCCAUUGAUAAUAUACAAGUCCAGUUGCAACAAACUAUAAAUACCAAAUGUUCGUAUGCCACAGGAUGUUGCAUAUUGCCUGAUGGUAGAUUAUGUUUCAUCUGUCCUUCAUUCAAAAAAGUAAUUGUAGUUAAACAAGACGGGUCGGUUGAUUUUUCAUUAAACGUACAAGCAGCAUAUGGUGUAGCAUACAACAAUGAGGAUAACACUAUAGCCGUAUCAUCCUGUUGGGGUGAUCAAGGGAAACAAAUAACAAUAAUUGAUUUAACGGAACAAAAAGUUCUGAAAACUCUUCUUCCUGGUGGACAAACCACUGGUAUAGCGGUGACAAAUAACACACUGCUGUAUCACGUAAAAACCAAAGCCAUUCGGGCCAUGGAUCUAACUGACAAAACAACACGUGAUAUAAUUACUGAGAACCUCGACUCAGAAGUCAACAUAACAAUAUUUGGACACAAACUUUAUUAUUCCAGUUAUAAGUAUCAUACAGUAGUAAGCUGCGAUCUACAAGGAACAAAACAAUGGACAUUCAAAAAUGAAAAAGUUUUGAGUCAUCCAUGUGGAAUAUCAGCUGACAAUGAUGGUUACGUGUAUGUUGUAAGAUGUAGAUCAGAGAAUGUCGUGGUUAUCUCCCCUGAUGGACAAAAACAUAGAGAACUCUUGAGAAGAAGAGAUGGCUUAGCUUCCCCAUUGUCAAUUAACUUUCGAAAGGAAACUAAACAGUUGUUAGUUGCAACUAUAAGUAAUAAAACAUAUCUGUAUAACAUAUCUAGAAAUUAAACUACUGCAAUUUUAUCUAUAAUGCAUUUUUGAAUGAAAUAAAAAUGGUGGAGUUAUAACCGCAUGCAGACACAGACACACAAUUGUUUGCACUUGCUCUUAUAGAAAUGUAUAUUAUGUUGUCAUUUCUAUUUUCUAUUAAAAGUAAUACUUUUAGUUAGUCUUUUGUCUCGUACAGUUUGAAAACAUAAGAUAUACUAACUCAUGUUUAUGUGAUUUAUAAAUAUGCAUCUAAAUAUACAUCCUCUUUUUGGGGUCCAGAUGGGUCUAAUAUUUUUGGUCAUGAAUAGAUAAAUAGACUAAAAAGACAAAACUUGAGUGUCUGCUGACAAAUAGGGAUUUAUAUAUAUAUAUGGAACUGACAUGGUCUUUGUAACAAUACCAUUGAGAAGUUGGUUGAUUUAUUCAAUGAAUGAGACACAAAACUACAUACAUACAUGGAAACACAAUUGUUAGAUUCUCUUGUAAUUGUUUUAUUUAUUUUUUUAUCUGAGAAAUAAGAGAAGUUUGUAAGUAUAGCAUAUACAGGUGAUUGAUUACGAGUAAUAUGUAGAUAAAAAGAAAAGGUCUCAUAAAAGGAUACUUAAAAGUACGUAAAGGCAAAGGAGAAUAUAGUAGUAUGAUUGGUUGCUGAGAAAAGUAGUUUCACAAGAACCAAACUGUGGCCUACAAAUCUGAAAAAAAAACUUAAGAAGAACAAAUCUGACAUGAGUUAAAUUAUCUGGUGGGUCAAGGUAACACUCCUUCGGAUUUUUCAGAAAAUCGGACUACCCAUUUUGUAAUUAAUGCCUUUCAAAUGUCUAUUGUUUUGCAGUUCAAUUUUACAGAUUUAAGUUAUAAUCUUAAUUAGGAUAAGGAAACUAUAUAUUGAGUUGGUAAAGCCAAUCUUUCCAAAGUAAAAAUUUUAACAAAAUGUGAUUUAGGAGAAAGUCAACAUGGACGAAUAGCCAAUUGAUUUCUUACAGGAGUUAUUGCCCUUGAAAAGCAUAUUUUACUUUUUAUUUGCAAAAACUAUAAUAGAUAAAGGAAAAUUUAGAAACAAACGUGUUCAGCUAAAAUAAGACCUACAAAUACGUCAACUUGUCAAUAAUUGUCAAAUGACCCCUCAUUAGAAUUGUUGCCUUUUAAAGUUGGUUUGACGAAUUACAAUACAACUAAUUGCAAUGAAGGGAAAACAAUUGCAUAUCUUUAACAGGUGAGCGGUUUUGUGCACUAUUUGCUUCUUAUUUGUCUGAAAUUUAACGACGAAAGGUUAAAAAUCUCUAUUUUUUAAAGGUUUCGUGUUGCUCGUUGCUUAUUUUUCAAUGCUGCGUUGGAAAUUGUUGUUUUCUUAACAUUUUUUGUCUUUAUUUUGGUAUUGUCCUUAUAUUUGAAGUUAUAAGUUUAAAUGUCCGUUUGAUAUCUUUCAUCUGUAUUUUACGCCAGUCAAUUUAAAAUAAAGCGCGAAUUUCUUAGCAUGAAAAUUGUAUAUUGGUUUGUCACGUUAAGAUCGAUAGGUUCAUGUGGGAUUCUUUUUAAGUAACUGAAAAGGUCGUAUAACCUGCGUGGAGCUUGCACAUUCAGCUUCUGUGACACGUUUGUUUGUUCAGUUAUGUAAUUAUCAAAAUAUUAGCAAUUAAUAUUGAAGGUAAUACGGUUCAGAAAAAGUCGACUCAAGUUCAUACGAACUUAUUCUUAAUUUACUAGAAUCGCAAGAAUAAAACAAGGGGUCGAAAUUUCAAGCAGUUUACGUGCCACUUUAAUGCUAUAGGAAGGAGUUCUUAUGAUGAUUAACAGUAAAAUAACAAAAAAAAAUACUCCACAGAUAAUUCAAAGAUUAUUUUGGGUUUUCUUUAAAUGCAGCAAAUAAAUCUGAAGUUCAUGAGUUCUGUUUGCAUUUCUAAAUGCUGCACAUGUAAAUACAAGGGAUCAUGGGAGAAAAAAGGCCAAGCAUGCAUCAAGAGUGAAACACAGGAUUGGCAAGCAUAAUGGUUAGGUGGAGUGUAUACGUACGUUCAUAUUUCUCGCCUUAUUUUUACAAAUAGUCAUACUGUGGCCAUAUGAUUUCAUACUAUUUGUUUGUCUUUAGCCUUGACCAAAAAUUAAAGAUUAAAGUCAUUAUUGUACACUAAUUAAACAUUGGUCAUCAUUAGAAAGCACGUAAAAUAAAGUCAUUAGUGUAAGUGUAAAGGUUAUGGCACUGAUUUGAUAAUCCGUAUAUAUUGCAUUGCAAAGUUUUGUCUCUAAUGCAAUCAUCAGUAUACAUGGAGUGCAAAGAGAUGUCUCUAAUUUUUAGUUCUAUGUUGAUAUUUCGCAGUUCUAACUUAAUAUUUUGAAGUUCUAAGUUUAUAUCUCUCAGUUUAGGUUUGGAAAACCAUAGCAGCAUUUCUUUUAAUGUCUGUCUGUGACCUAUUCCAUGGAAACAUUUCUUCUAUCGACAAUAUUAUUUUUUACAGUUGACAUUCAAUCAAUUAUCUGUGUUAAAAUGACACUUACUUGGCCUUCACACUUAUGAAUAACCAGAAAAAUCUAUUUUGCAGUUUUUGUUUUUCUGAGACACUUCAAACUUCAUAAAUACCAGAAACAUAUAUAAAAAAAACUACUUAAUGUAGCAAGACGUUUAAAAGAUAGGCCAAAAUUUCUAUCCCUAUCCAAUAUACCCUCAUUUACCAGUGGCAGUCCAAUUUUCCCUAACCAUUAUCCCGGAUGACCUUUUCAUCCUGAACAUGCAUGAAAUAUUUGCCAUUGACGUUAAGCAACCAACAAUCAAUCAAUCAAAUUAAAAGAUAGGCAAAUGAUAUUAAAGGUUUGUUCAACCCCAUCAUUCGAAAAUAAACUGAUAGCAACAUGGCUAAACUAGAGGCUCUAAAGAGCCUGUGUCGCUCACCUUAGUCUAUGUGAAUAUUAAACAAAGGACGCAGAUGGAUUCAUGACAAAAUUGUGUUUUGGUAAUGGUGAUGUGUUUGUACAUCUUUCUUUACUGAACAUUCUUGCUGCUUACAAUUAUCUGUAUAUAUAAUGAACUUGGCCCAGUUAGGUUUCAGUUGAAAAUGUUAGUAAAAAUUUACAAAUUAUGAAAAUUGUUAAAAAUUUACUAUAAAGGGCAAUAACUCCUAAAGGGGUCAACUGACCAUUUCAGUCAUGUUGGCUUAUUUGUAAAUCUUACUUUGCUGAACAUUAUUGCUGUUUACAGUUCAUCUCUAUCUAUAAUAAUAUUCAAGAUAAUAACCAAAACAGCAGCAAAAUUUCCUUAAAAUUACAAAUUCAGGGGCAGCAACCCAACAAUGGGUUGUCCCAUUCAUCUGAAAAUUUCAGGGCAGAUAGAUUUUGACCUGAUAAACAAUUUUAUUCCUGUCAGAUUUGCUCUAAAUGCUUUGGUUUUGGAGUUAUAAGCCAAAAUCUGCAUUUGACCCCUAUGUUCUAUUUUUAGCCAUGGCGGCCAUCCUGGUUGGUUGGCCGGGUCACCAGACAUAUUUUUUAAACUAGAUACCCCAAUGAUGAUUGUGGCCAAGUUUGGUUUAAUUUGGCCCAGUAGUUUCAGAGGAGAAGAUUUUUGUAAAAGUUAACGACGACGGACGACGGACCCUUAGGGUCAGGUGAGUUAAAAAGAAGGGGAAAAAGACGAACAACAGUACACUAAACACAACAUUAAAAAAUCUAAAGACUUUGCCAUACAACCUCCUCCGAAAACUUAUUGAUCGCAAGAGCUCCCAAAGGGUAAUCAGAUCCUACUCCAAAUGUGGCACUCUUUGUGUUUGUCAUGUGAGUACCAACCCUAUGUGAGGUCGUAUUCGGUAGGUCACAUUCGGGGAAAGGGCACGGAAUGUGAAGUAACAACAAUUAUGGUGCCAGUUGAAUUAAAGAAGUCAUGAUUUCAAUUUGAACACUUGGUGUAUUAGCUUCAUUAUGCAACCAUUUAUUUAGGAAAUUAUGAUAGGAAAUAGGAGAUAUACAGGUGCCGCUGGAUUGUUGCUCCAUAAAAAUGGAAAAUUCACAAUUGAAAAGCUGACAUCAUAUUUUUUGUUGUAACGUUUAGUCCAAAAUGUCGUCUUCAUAAAAAGUAUUUCAAAAAAGUAAAGGGAAAUAUCAAAAAGGGACAUUCAAACACUUAACCAAAAAUUUACUUGCAACGUUUUGAUGAACAAAAACUAACAAAAUCAAAAAGACAAACAACGAUAUACAAAACAAAACAUAGAAACAUAAAACUGAGAAAAAAGAACCCCACUUAAAAUCCAGGAAAUAUCCGGUGCUCCGGAAUAGAAUCCGAUCCUUCUCAAUAUUCAGCCCCCAUCGUGUUGCUCAUAUAUGUUCGAACCCAGUAAUAAGCCUAGUUAGAUUGGUCAAAUAGGGGAAACGAGGACAAGAUAGUAAUUGUGACAUUAGGAACAUAACCGUCCUUUUUUAAUUUACACAAGUUUGUACAAAAACAAUUUUGUAUACGACAACAAACUACAACUACUGAAUUAGAGGCACAAGACUUUUGACAGGUACAAACAAAACUUUUGGCGCUAACCCUCCCUCUCACCAUGGAUAGGGGGCUGGGGGGGGGUAAAUUGCUAAACACAAGAUAAACUAUGCACAAACAUAAACACAAACCAAAUAAUAAAAGAAACAGCACAAAAAACACAAACACUGGAUUACCGGCUAUUGACUUGAGACAGGUACAUAAAGAAUGGGAAGGGGUUAAACUCAUUAAACUCAUUAAACUCGGUAUAGCAGUACAACAUUAGAAAACAAAACUUAAAAAAUCAGUUGAAAAGGGAUAACCUUAUCAGAUAUAUAGAAGUAGAACUACAUCUAACAUCUUCUGUUAAAAGGUUUGUCAAUGUUGAACAAAUGUAAAAUGAUUAAUAUUUUACCAAUCUUUAACAGUCGAUAUGUUAUUGUUGUUGUAGAUUAUGGCAAGCUUUGUACCUUCGUGUUGUGUAUGUGAAUAUCAACAUGUCUUUGAAACUGCAUCCAUAUGGUGUUUAGAUUGUGAUAAGGGCCUCUGUAUAAACUGUAUUAAGUAUCAUGGAAUUUCAAUAGGGAAAAGCACACAUGUAACUAUACCGAUAUCAGAGUAUGAAAAUCUACCUGAUUACAUAACAAAUAUCAAGCAGACAUGUAAUACACAUGAUGAAAAUUAUCAGAUUUACUGCAAUUAGCAUGAAUGCCCUUGUUGUAGUAAGUGCAUCGUUCAAAAUCACACAAAAUGUAAAACUAUUUCCAAUCUUGAUGAAGUUGUCAAAAACUCAAAGACCUCAAACACUUUUUUUGGAAAUUCAGGAAACAUUAAAUGAAGUAGCCGAAAACAUCAAGCGCAUUCGUCAAGAUAAACAAAGCAAUUUGAUAACUUUGUCUGAAAAAUUAAAACAGAUCGAAUGGGAAAUUCAACAGGUUCGGUCUAAUUUCAAUGAAUAUCUGGAUAAACUGCAAGAGGACUUCAUAUCAGAAUUAAACGAGACAGGGAGAAGAAAAAAAACAAAAAUCCAUCAGUUAAUGAAAGCUUUAGAUGAGCAUGGAAGUAAAGUUGUAGAGCACCAAAGGAACGUAGCACACAUAAAAGAAUACGCAUCCGAUCUACAUACUUUUCUAGCACUAACACAACUUGAAAUUGGUGUAACUGAAAACGGUGAGGUCAUUCAUUCACUUCCUGAAAAUGAUGUUCUCAAUCGUGUGGAGAUCAAGUUCAACUUUAAUACAUCACUAAAAGACAUGGUAAAUCAUGUUGCUGUGUUUGGCAAAGUAUAUAUUGACAACUCAAGUACCUCACUGAACAUUGUAAGAACAAAACAACAACAAACUCAGUUCAUAUUAUCUCAAGUAUCACCCAUCGUGCCCAUUGAGAAUAUACAAGUCCAGUUGGAAAAAAAACAUAAAACUCGAAUCAUCAAUCGUCCGAGAAUGUUGCAUAUUGCCUAAUGGUAGAAUUGUGUUUACGCAUCCUUCAUCAAACAAAUCAUCUGUAGUUAAACAAGACGGGUUCGUCGAUUUUUCUUUGAAUGUAACAGUAGCACAUGGUGUAGCAUACAACAAUGAAGAUAACACUAUAGCUAUAUCAUCCUGAUGGUAUAUUCAUGGAAAACAAAUAACAAUAUUUGAUUUAACGGAACGAAAAGUAAAAUUAUUUUUUUUUCACUCGGUGGCCUAACCACUGGUAUAGCGGUGCCAAAUAACACACUGCUGUAUCACAUUAAAAAUAAAGCAAUUCGAGCCAUGGAUCUUGCUGACAAAUCAACAUGUGAUAUCAUUACUGAGAACCUGGACACAAUAAUCAACAUAACUAUAUCUGGACACAAACUUUAUUAUUCCAGCUAUAAGUAUCAUACAGUAGUAUGCUGCGAUCUGCAAGGUACAACGAAAUGGACUUUCAAAAAUGAAAACAAUUUAAAGAAUCCAUUUGGAAUAUCAGCUGAUAAUGAUGGUAACGUGUAUGUUAUAGGAUAUGGAUCAAAGAAUGUCGUAGUAAUCUCCCCUGAUGGACAAACCCAUAGAGAACUCUUAACUAAAAGAGAUGGUUUAGAUUCCCCAUAUUCAAUUAACUUUAGAAAGGAAACUAAUCAGUUAUUGGUUGCAAAUGAAUUUCAGAAAGCGUAUUUGUAUAACAUAUCUAGUAUUUAAAACACUUAAAUAUUAGAUUUUAAUGUAGUAUUGAAAGAAAUGCAAAUAGGGAAUUUAUACAAAAACACAUGCAUACAUGGACUAAAGUUGUUUACACUUCUUCUUACAGCGAAAUGUUUAUUAUGUUAUUGUUUCUUUUUUUGUUGUUGUAUUAAAAGUAAUAUGUUUAGUUAGUAUUGUGUCGCAUUCAGUUUAGGUUAAGUCACUGUUUAUGGGAUUUUCAAGAAAUUAAAAAAAAAACACUUAAUGAGACGAACGAUACCAGAGGGGCAUUCAAACUCAUAGAUCGAAAACUGACAACAAAAUAGCUAAAAAAAAAACAAAAAACAGAAUAGUUAUAGUACAUAAGACAAAACAUAGAAAACUCACAACUUAGCAACACGAACAAAACCGGUAUAUAGUCUUAUUCGGGGGGUCAAAUUCUUGAAUAGGGAACGGGGUUGUAGUUACGACAUAAGCAACAUAUCUAAUAUCAUCUGUGAAACGGUUAUUUUAUAAUGGUCAACCAACUCAUGAUGGCGUCCUUACAAUUUAAGGGAAGAUUUAAACUUCACUCCUUUGAACUCUUGGUUAAUAGCUUCCUUGUGACUUGAGUGUCAGCUGACCAUCAACGGAUUUUUAUAUAUAAGUCAUGGUACAUAAUAAUACCACUGAGAAAUUGAUUGACUUACUUUCUGAAUAAUACAUACAAAAGCAAGGACAUGCAUGGAACACACAACUGCUAGCUUUUCUCAUACAUUUAUCUUUUUAUCUAAGGAAUGAGUGAAAUUUGUAUGUAUCAUCUAUAUAGGUAACUGAUUACCUGUACUGUGAAGAUAUAAUGAGAGUGCUUCAAAACGGAUAACCAAAACUACUCAAUGUUACAUUGGAGACUAUAGUAUGAUUGACUGCACAUCAUUGACCUUAGAAAGUAAAUUUGCACAUAGACCCAACUGUAUUCUACCGUGUGAUAAAUAGCAUCCGAAAACAUCGAUAGUGUUGCCUGCUUAAAAAAGAUUUACAGUCACAAAUUUAAAAAGUUAAAGGAAGUAGCCGAAAACAUCGAAAACAGCUGUUAAAAGUAGCAAUUUGAAAGCAUUGUCCGAAAAAAAAACCUAUAUUUCUAUCAGAGAAUCAAAAUCUACCCGAUUACAUUACAAAUAUUAAGCAUGUAGUUGUAGUAUACAUGAUGAAAAUUAUCAGAUUUACUGCAAUGAACAUGAAUGCCCGUGUUGUAGUGAGUGCAUCGUUGAAAACACAAAAAAUGUCAAAAUAUUUACAAUCUCUUGAUAAUGGAAACUAAUGAAACAUUUAAUGAAGUUGCUGAAAACAUCAAACGGAUUCGUCAACAUAAAAAUGGCAACCUGAAAACAUUGUCCGAAAAAAUAAAAUACAGAUUGAAUGUGAAACUGAACAGUUUCGGUUCAAUAUCAAUCAUCAGCUUUAUAAAUUGUAACAAAACUUCACAUCAGAAUUGUAUGAGACAGAAUAAGGAGAAAACAAAAAUCCAUCAGUUAAUGAAAGAUUUAGAUGAGCUUGGAAGUAAAGUUGUAAAGCACCAAAAAGAACAUUGCAAACACACAACAACGCCCAUUAGAUCUACGGACAUUUCUAGCUCUGAAACAACUUGAAGGUGAUGUUCAUGAAAAAUAUCAGUCCGUUGAUUUAAUAACCAAAAGCGGUGUAACAAACCACCACGAUGAUAACACUGUAGUGAUAACAUCCUGUUGGAACUUCAUUGUCAAUUAAACUAAAAAUAUAUUUAACGAAACGAAAUGUGAAGAAAACUAUCUAUCCUUUUGGAUAACAAUAGGCAUAGCGGUAACAAAUAAAACAAUGCUGUACCAUUAAAACAAAACAAAAAAGCAUUCCAAGCCAGUACUGACCCAAUCAACACCAUGAACACAGAAAUCAGCAUAACUAUAUCUGGACACAAACUUUAUUUUAGUUAUCAUUAUCAUACAGUAGUAUCUGACAAAUUACAAGGAACAAAAACAAAUGACAUUCAAACAUAAAAAUGUUUUGAGGUUUCCUGCUGGUUUACCUGCUGAAAAUGUUGAUAAUGUGUAUGUUAUAGGGAGUUUAAACAGAGACUGUUGUACUGAUCCUACCUGAUGGAUAAAAAUAUUUAAAAAAAAACUUUAGCUAUAUCGGAAGGUUUUAAAUCGCCAUGCUCAAUUAACUUAGGAAGAUUAGCCAGUCAGUUGUAAGUUACAGAUUCAAAAAUUACACUGAUCUCUAUCAGCUAUCCAGAAUUUUAAACCACUGCAAAUGUAUCAAAAUACACUAUUAAAGAUUAAAAUUAAAACAUAUAACUAUAGAGAAAGACAAUUUUUAGCAUUUCUUUAAGUGUAAAUUAUUUUUUAACUUUAUUUUUUAAUUGAAAUAGUAUGUACGUUUUGUUUGUCUAUUUUCGUAUACAACUUUCGACCGAUAGAUUAUUCUGUAUCCGUGCGGUACGUUUGGUUUUUGGUCAAAAUAGGUCUUAUGUUUUACCUAGGACAUGGGUAGGUAAAUAUAAUUAAACAAAAUAUGUGAUGGCGUAAGUUUAUAGAUCCGAGUUUCAAUUCAAAGAACUAACUUGGUACAUUAUUGAAUCAAGUCAAUUGAGAAAUUGAUCGAUUUUCAAUAAUUGAUUGGUAUUUAACACUACUUCUAAUUUGUUUCUACUUUAUCUGACGAUUAGAUUUUAUAGGUGGAGGACGUCUAAGUGCCAUGAAAGAACCAUCAAUAUUCGGUAGACAAACUUGCAAUUCUUGUCAAAAAUAAGAUCAAAGUUAAACUUGAUGACAGGCUUGUGCUACAGUAAAACAGUAUUUUGACUUCUACGUCCACAUGGCUAUUAAGACCAAAAGAAGUUGAUUGAUUCAUCUAAUGUAUGAGUAAAGUUUGUAUGACUAGUAUAAUAUUUUCAAGUAAAUUAAAUGAUUGAUUGAUUGUUGGUUGCUUAACGUCCAGUGGCAAAUAUUUUAAAUUAAAUGAAAAACUAUGUCUGCAUCAUAUAUGUUACAUAAAGGGUAAACUUAAAAAAUAAUUCUUUCAUGCCAUGCUCUAUAUUCAUUUUAACAUGGGUAGGCAUUAUAUAUGUUAAUAUCUUAAUACCGAGCGUUAGCGAGGUAUUAAAUGUUUACAAAUAUAAUGCCUACCCAUGUUAAAAUGAGCAUAGAGCAUGGCAUGAUAGAAUUAUUUCGAUUCUAAUAGGAAUAUUUUGAACUUUUCUACUUCGAAGCGGACCUAUAGUAGACGCUCGAAAAGUCGCCAUUUUGAUGUGAUGAACAAAAAAGUUAUAGAAAAAUCAACAGUUUGUUAAUAAAAAGAAAGAACAGAAACAUUUAAACUUACUUUAAGAAUGUUUUAUUUAAUUUUCUAGCAAACAACAGCAACUGAAAUGUCCUUUUUGAUCUCUGGCGUUAUUCAAAAUUCAUCUGACGUUGCAAUUUCAAUUGUGACGUCAAUCACGUGCAGCCCAUGUUGUAUUCGAAUUAGAACAUGGCUUUGUACCCAAAGCUAAAGAAGAACGUCAUAUUAGAAAGAUAAAUUAAUGUUAGACAUUAAAAUAUUGUUUGAUUUGAGUUUUUGUCGGGAACUGAUAAAAAUAUACCUUUUUUUAAAUUCAUAAUAAUUUCCAAAAACUGGCAUUAUCAGACAUAAGUAUUUUCUCAUUUUCCAAAAAUCAAAAGAAGCGAAAGAUACCAAAUUUACAUUCAAAUUCAUACAUCGAAAAAAAAAAGACAGCACCAAAGCAAAGAAAAACAAAAAGAUGAAAAACAGUAUACGAGCACAAUAAGAUAACACCAAACAAAGAUUUUUUUCUAUUUUUAAUUCAAAUAUGUAAACAGUAUUUACGUCGAUACGUAUCUAUUACUGAUUAAGAAUUCAAAUGUUCAUUGUUUAUCUUUGUAAAUCUUUAUCUCAUAACAUAAUUAUGAAUCAAAUAUUUAUCUUGUCAAAACUUUUUUGUAAAAUGAACCUGUAACAAAAUACCUAAUAGAAUCAAUCCGAUAAUUUUAAGCCAAGGUAAUAUGUCUUAAAGAGAAUUUUCAAAUGACGAUUGAUGAAAGAGGGACGAAAGAUACCAGAGGGAGAGUCAAACUCAUAGACAAAAAAUAAACUGACAACGUCAUGGAUAAAAAUAAAUAGAUAAAAAGACAAAUAAUAGUACACAACAUAGAAAAACUAAAGACUAAGCAAAAAAAUAAUUUGGCAUUUAAUGAUGAUAAAAAUAGAUAGAUGUUUUACAUACACCGGCAACCUAAAUGCAUAUUUAGAAUGAGAACAUGUUAAUGUUUUUUGAAAGAUAAACCUGCUUUGUACUAUACCGGCUUAAAUGAGUUUUUAACGUGUUCAUUGGUUCACAGUCCACAGGAAUAAAUUUCGUCAUAUCCUGCCACUGUUGUCUAGUCAAGAGAAAACUAAUCUUACUCAUAAAUGUCGCGUGUUUACCAUGAAACAGCAAAUGACAAGUUUAAAACCUUUUGUUUCACCUGCUUCAAUUUCAUACAAAUCUUUGACUUCCAGCAACCGAAUGGAACUCGCUACUACGACACCACUUAUACGAUUUAUGCGUUUUGAUACGGGUUAUGUUCUUGUGAUACAAUUUAUGAUGGUAUGCUUCUAAAUCCUUAACGGUAUUGAUUGUACUUGAUUUUCAUAUGAUGAAGACAUAAUCUUUCAAUCAGUUAAUGUCAGUAACUGCUUGUAGUCAUUUGUUAAUUUAUUUAUCAUUGUAAAUUAACUUAGUUUCUUUUGUUACCUAUUCUGAUAUCGGACUCGGACUUGUUUUAAACUAAGUUUUACUGUGCGUUUUGCUAUGUGAUUCUUUUUUAUUCUACAUUGGCAAGAUAUAUAGAAGGAGGAUUGAGAUCUCACAAAACAUAGCUAACCCCGCCACAUGUUGUAUUUAUGUGCGUAUGUGUGGUUGUCGUUUGUUGAUGUUACAGAGUUGUUUUUGUUUAAAUUAUGUACAUAACUUAGGCCGUUAGUUUUCUCGAUUAAAAUUGUUUUUUAUGUAUAAUUUCCUGAAAUAAAAACAUUAGUUUAAGAAAGAAGUUCCUUCUUUUCUAUAUAUUUUACUUGUUUUAAUGACGAAGUCAAAUAAGAACAUUACAUGUUCGAUGUCUGUUGAAACGUUAUGUCUUAUGUGUGUCCGGGUGGUAUAAAUUAUAAUAAUAUUGUCCGAGUGCAGCUAUUAUUUAUUUAAUUAAUUAAUUACAGUUUUCUAAAAAAACAAAAAAAAAACAAGUUAAGGUAUGACUAUGUCUUUACUAAGGUAAUUUUGUUGCCAUCGAACAAACGAUGAAAUAAAUGCAUGAAGUAUACAGAUAAUUUAUAAUGGUUUUAAGUAUUCACCCCACCUCCCUAAACAAUGGACCACUUCAACGUAAUAACGAAUGCCCAUGUCCUACUUAAUAUGACACACCGCCAUUGUAUGAUUAUUUUCCGAAAUUGUCAAGUGUUCCCCGCCAUACAAUACUAUAUGUACAUUAAGAUUAUAAAAUUUUAUGAUUAUGGCAAUGUAAACAAUAGAUGUGUUUACAUUUUGCUGUCAGUAUAGGGGACAUUGAAAUAUCUCGUGAUGGUUUAUCUAGUUAACUUCAUAUAGUUGAUAAACAUCUUAACAGAUUUGAAAAAAAUAUAUUCUCGAAGUGCAGACUAUUGAGUUGUAAAUCUUGAUGAUAUAUGAAAUGUGUAUUCGAAUUGUCUUUUUCAUAAUUUUCUCUUUAAAUUAUGUACUUUAGUUUCUGUAUCGGAAGUUAUUCUCUUUAGAGAAUGGGAAACGCAAUUAUUGAAAUGUCGAAUACACUUGGAAAUAAACUCAUCAUAGAUACCAGGACUGAAAUUUUACAUUUACGCCAGACAGAAGAUGUAUAUUCCAUGUUAUGCAGAUGCUGGUUGAAUGUUGAUUGUCCGUACGAAGAAAAGAAAACUGAGUUCACAUUGGGUUAACUGACAUCGUCACUAUAUUUGUUGUAAAUUUUAGUUCUUAUCUGACUUUCAUUGUAACUUUCUUAUAUGUAAGUCAAGAUAUUGAUUUAGAAAAUAUUAUCUGAGAGUAAGCGAAAGCUACUGUAAACCAACAAAUGUUCACGAGCGAAUAAUAAAGGUCACUGUCGCGAGUAUGAAAAUAACGCUAAUUUGCAUCUUCCAAAUAUAGGACACCUAAAUUUUUCUAUAUAUUGGUGUUUGCUCUUUGGUCGGGUUGGUUGUCCUUUCAACAUAUUCAUCAUUUCCAUUCUCUUUUUUAUAAAAAGUAAAAUCACAAAAAUACUGAACUCCAAGGAAAAUUCAAAAAGGAAAGUCCCCAAUCAAAUGGUUAAAUCAAAAGUUCAAACACAUCAAACGAAUGGAUAACAACUGUCAUAUUCCUGACUUGUUACAGGUAUUUUCUGAUAGAGAAAAUGGUGGAUUGAAUGGUGGAUUGAAUGGUGGAUUGAACCUCGUUUUAUAGCUAGCUAAACCUCUCAAUAGUAUGACAGUCACGUCAAAUUAUGUGAAUAUAUCAGAUUAACUCAAAGUUAACAAGAAAAUAACUUAACUCGAAAUAUGUUGUAUAAGAGUAAUAUGUAACGUGAAUGACCAAUUGUAAGAUGAUGGUUUUAGUCUAAUCAACUUUUUCAGUUUGAUUUUUUUUCAUUUAAUAACUGCAUACAUAUGUUUUAACUAAAUACAUUUGAAAUUAAACGGCAUUUAAACAUCAUUGUUUGUCAUUUUACAUAUUAGCAAAAAUCCGAUAUGUUUUCCAUAAUUUGAUUCUGUAUACAAUUUUCUAGAAUGUCUCUGUAAACGUCUGUUUGUCCAUAUGCAGUCGUCAAUGACGGUGAUGUUGGCUUAUAUCGUGUCACAUAAUUGUUUUAACGGAUCAAAAAGCAAAGCAAUGUGACGUUAAUUGUUAGAUGAUGUUAUUGAUUUCUUUUUUACUUUUAAAGUUUUAUUCAUUUUCAUAACUAUGAGAAAUCACAAAAUACGUUGUAAAAACUAUACACUAAUUGUAUAACAUUUGCAGUUUAGCGCCAUUUUAACAUUAUUAAUAACAUACAUUUGCAUUUGCUGUCGAUACAUUGGACUUUCAAAUAUCUAGUGAUAACUUUAUCAGAACGCCUUUGUUCUAGAGUCACGUCAUCUAAUUGUGAAACUUUCAAGGUAUAGGUAAUUACAUAGUUUCUUCAUAUGUUUGUAAUAAUGUUUGAAUAUUAGGAAUAACAUAAACCGCUAACCCUAAGUGUAAAAUAUUGACAAAUAUAAUACUUAUCCUUGUUAAAAUGAGCAUGUAUAAGGACAAGAAGGGUUAUUUUUUCAUAUUAUAAUUGGCAUUUCAUGAUUUUACUAUUGUUUCUGUUUAUAUUGUAUUACAUACAUUGCGUUGAAAAAAAGGUUAAGAAAGUAAGAAAGACUACGAAUACUUUGAGACCCCAGGGGAAAGUUGAAAGCGGGCGUCAUUAUGUAGGAAAUGAUGUAGGAGAAUGUUAUGAAUGUGUAUAUGAUAGAAUCCUAUUCAUUGAAUAGGAAUUGAAUGCAAGCGGGUGCGAAUUCAGCAUGUUCAGGGGGGAAAUAAAUACGUAAACAUACAAUUUAGUCAUAUGUAGAUCAAUCUGAGUGAAACUUGUAUAUCUUGUACCUAAGAUUACAAACUAAGUAUACAACUCAACACAAACGAUUAUAAACAACACUCAAUAGGCAACAAUAAGUGUAUGCUUUCAAUGGUUAAUUUCGUAUUAUUCGGUAUUGAAAAUAGUGGUUAAAUAAACUGGACAUCUGCAAUUGGUUUUUUCAAUUUAGUCUAGAAAUCACAAUAAUGACAUUUUACCCAACUUUAAAUGUAAAUUAGUUAUUAUUUUUUUUAGAAGAUGGCAAAAAUGUGUUGUUCAUUUAAGUACAAACCCUGUGUUAGGUCGUAUUCGGUAGGUCACAUUCGGAGAAAGGGAACGGGAUGUCAAGUAACAACAAUAAGUACACAUUCGUCGUCUUUUAUAAAAUAGUUAAUCCAUAAUAGUAAACCGAAUCGUUUAGGCUUCUGUUGAUUUAAAAAGUGAUUAAUUUCAAUUUCAGCACUUGGUAUAACAGCUUCAUUGUGAGCAGCAAUCAUCUAUUAAGGAAUUUAGGAUAGUUAAUUCAGAUAUUGGGGUAUCGUAUCAACUGGGAGAUUUAUACUCCGUAUGCAAGCGCCGCUGGUAUAUUGCUACAUAGAAAUUGUAGAUUCACAAUUUUGCAAAUAUGAAAUCAUAUCUUUUGUUAUUUGUUCAAAAUGUUAUUUUCAAAAAUAUAUAGCAAAAAUUACAAUUGACAUUCAAACUUAACAACCCUUUGAUAAACAAAAAAAGAAAUCUAAAGACAAAGAGAGACAUAUAAAACAAAACAUAGAAACUAAAAACUAAUCUCAGGUGUUCUGGGAUAAAAAAAAAAAGAAAGAAGAAAAUAAAGGUCCUUCUCAAUAUGCUACACUCGAUGUGCUGCUCAAGUAUGUUCUAACCCAGUAAUAAGCUAAAUAAGUUUGGUCAAAAAGGGCACAAGAUUGUUAUUCCGACAAUUGAACCAUAUCCGUCGUCAUCAGUAAGACAGAACUCAAUAAUGCUCAACCCACUAGUGAUUGAGUCAAUAUAAUUUUCUGCGGAAUGUUUUCAAACUUACCUCUCAAAGGAAAAGUAUGUUACAAUGUAAAAUUUAUAAAUGCUAUACCCUUAUUGCAAUCAAUAUUGUUGUUGCAUUAUCGUUAUAUGGACGUCUUCAAUAUUACCGUAAAGCAACUUUCUUUUAAGCAGUUUUUAUACAGUUUUUGACCACACUAUGAAUUGUUAUAAUAUCCAUUGCCACCAAGGUUAAACACAAAAAUUGUUUGAUAAAGAUAUUCAAAGUCCCAACAUAUACGUAUACCAAAACGACACUAACAAAAGAAGAAGUCUAGACAAUCAUAUAUCUAUUUCAUGAUCACUUCUAAUCCUAUCCAAUAAAUUAAAACGUUUUCUUUUAUUUACUCUAUUCGAUUAGAAGAUUCCAGAACACCUUGAAAUGUUCUUUCAAAAUAACUAACAUUUUUUUCUAUUUGCAAUCGAGUAGUUCUUUUGAGUUAAUUAUUGGGCUUUGUAAUUCAGUUGGCGAUUCUCAAAAUAAUUCAAAAAUUGUCUGUAUUUACUGGAGACGCGAAUUCCUAAACACCUUGUCCAUGUUGACACCUCUUUCCGAAUUCCUAACAUAUUUUCUAUCUGCUAUCAAUCGGUCGUCGUUUUCAUACUUACAAGGAAUCAAUAAACUGUUUAUAUAAACAUAUAAUAGUGAUACAUUUAAAGUUACGCGCCAUUAUAACAUUCGUAACAUGAUUUACAGAUGUCAGUAGAUUCGACGAUAAAUAUUUCGUGACUGUAUCGUUUGUUUACCUUCCUGGUUGAAAUAUUUUAUCAAGUUAAAGACAUUUGUGUAACUCCUUCAAAUUCAGGUAAAAUUAUUGCUGUUUAAUUUCAUUCAAUGACAUAUAAAGAAAGGAAUAGUAUUAAAACAAUCUGAUCUCCAAUACGUAUAGUUUACAUGUUUUGACAAGUAAUUUUGUGACACAGAAUGCAAUUGAUGGUCUCUAAAACACAUUUUUUCUCCGUGUACACUAACGAAAAAAAGGUUUUGUCCUGUAUACAAUGUUUCCCCAUCACGUUUAAUGAAACGUCAAGUAUGGUUUAAUAAAUUCUUAUAGAUUGCGCCAACUGGCCAUAGCUACAUAACAUGCAUAAUGAAUAGAAAUAUCCAUUUUGAUAAUCUUCAUACUAGUCUUUCAAGGGUUAUCUAACUUUAACCGUCAAAACCUAAAAAUUGUUAAUACGUUUUAUCUAUAAAUAUAAUUUCAGCAAUUUCUUAAUUUUUUUCUAAAAAGUCAAUGCUGAUUAUCAAAGUAUGCCCUAAUUCCGUAAAGACGAUUUUCGUCUUGCAUGUACAUCAGUAAUAACAAAUUAACAUAGAAAAACAAGUUUUGUUCAUAUCACUUUAACCCCUAGUUUUUGGUGUGGUUCGUGUUGUUUAUUCUUUAGUUUUCUAUGUUGUGUCGUGUGUACUUUUGUUUGUCUGUUUGUCUUUUUCAUUUUUGGUAAUGGCGUUGUCAGUUUAUUUUCGGUUUAUGAGUUUGACUGUCCCUUUGGUACCUUUCGUCCCUUUUUUUAAUAUCUUUAGAAUACAUUGUGGACCAUUUUUUUUUUAAAUUCUAGCUUAAUCUGCAUCCAGUGUUCACUCCCAAUGAUCAGUUAAAGUGCAUAUUAAUAUAAUAGCUCUUUUUGCUUUCAGCAAUGAAUCUGUUUCUCUUGUUGCAUAGCUGUGAUGUUUUCACUCAGCUGGCACAUAUCUCUUAAAACUAUAUACCUUCAUUCUUUUAUAUAUUAAAGUAUAAACUUGUUUAAUUCAGAGACGAGUGUGUGUUGUAAUGGGAAGUUCAUUCAUACAUGUUCAAUCGAUCUGUAAGCUAAAAACAGUUGGAAUGCCAAAUCAUCCAAUCUGAAACGCAAAUUAGUGACAAUUAUCUCUUAUACAUAAGAGAAAUGGAACACUGUAUAUAUUAAUUUCAUAUUUGCAUAUGGAGAUGAAUUUAUUUUUUGCGAACUUCUCGGGUUUUAAUUUAAGAAAGAUACUUGAAAAGUAUCUAUAAUGAUAGUAACGUUAAAAAAAACAGCAGGUAAGGCUUGUAAAAACAGUUUCACAACCCUCUGUAAUUUUUCAGAUUUAUAUACUUCCACUAAAUAUGACUAUUUAGGAAAUAUACUUUAAUUUGAAAUGUUGCAUUUAAUAAUAAUAGAUUAUAGACACGUUUUGAAUGUAAAAGUUCUUUUUUUAAAUUUUGGACACGACCAGUUUUCUAGUUGUCAUAUAAAUUAUUUGAUACUUUGAUACCACUUGGAAAAUAUGGUUCAUGGAUGAGUAUCGUCCUGUGCUUAGCUAAAUGGGAAACAUUGUACUGCGUGUCAUACUUUGGCUUUACUAGCAAAAUGUAUUAUAAAACAUCAUUUAAUAUUACUAGAAGAACAAACUUUGGAGAUUUCCUAUUGAUUAUUGUAUUACAGUUUAAAUUCGUUUGUAAAAUGAUAAAGAAGAUUUAUCGUUUAAAUAGAUGCAAAUAGAAGCAUAUUAUCAUAAUAAACGAAAAACAUUUAUUUUUAUUAAAAGUGCUCGUGCUUCUAAAUAAAGGCAACAAUAGUAUACCGGUGUUCAAAAGUCCCAAAUCGAUUGAGAGAAAACAAAUCUGAGUUACAACCCAAAACCACAGGAACAAAUCAACUAUAAGAGGGAAACAAAGGAACAGCAGGAACACUAAAGUGCAACAAAAACAAACACAAACAUACAUAAAUACAAACUAUUUGAUAACAACUGCCAUAUUCGUGACUUGGUAUAGGACAUUUUAAGAAACAAUGAUGGGUUGACCUGGUCAAAUGGCUAGGUAAAACUUCCACCGUAUGAUAAAGUCAAGGUCUUUAAUGUUCGACACAAAGGCUUCCAAAUUUGUUUAUUAAGACAGAUAUUUCAACAUAAGUGCUGAAGUAAUAAGUUAUUUACGUAAAAUAGUUGUAAUAAAGAUUUUACUUUAUGUUGCUAUCUUCAUUCUAUAAUAAAACUAAGCAAUCCAUUAAAUGGACAAUACAUAUUUUAAAAGGCAGAAAACAACAACCACUCAUAUACAGGCUCCUUACAAGGGACCGGCAUAUAUAGAAUGUGUCAGGGUUAACAUAAGAGACACUGAAUACAGAUAUUAGAAUACUCGCAGAUAUUUUGCUAUAAUAAAAUAUACAAGGCUACAAGGUAAUGACUCAAACUCUGUUGAAUUUUUCUUUUAAGAUUAACAAAUGUAGUAAAGAUAACAAAUCUGAAUUUUUGAAAUAUUUUGAACGGUCAAUAUAUACUUUUUCUUGCAGAUGAUGGCAAGCUCUGAACCUUCAUGUGCUGUAUGUGAAUAUCAACAUGUCUUAAAAUCUGCCUCCAUAUGGUGUUCAGAUUGUGAUGAAGGCCUCUGUAUAGACUGCAGUAAGCAUCAUGGAAUUUCAAAAGCAACAAGAAAGCAUGUAACUAUUCCGAUAUCAGAAUAUAAAUUAUUGCCGACUUACAUUACAAAUUGUAAGCAGACAUGUAGUACUCAUGAUGAAAAGUAUCUGAUUUACUGUAAUGAACAUGAAUGCGCGUGUUGCAGUAAGUGCAUCGUUGAAAGGCACACAAAAUGUCAAAAUAUAUCAAAUCUAGAUGAUGUUGUCAAAAACACAAAGACAUCAAACGCUUUUCUGGAAAUUCAUGAAUCAGUUAAUGAAGUUGCAGAAAAUAUCAAACGGAUCCGUCAAGAUGAAAACAACAAUCUGAAAACAUUGUCCGAACAAAGAAAACAGAUCGAACGUGAUGUUCAACAAGUUCGAUUAAACAUCAAUCGGCAUCUCGAUAAACUACAAGAGGACUUCAUAUUAGAAUUGUAUGAGAUCGAAAAAAGAGGAAAUAAAAAAAUCAAUCAGUUAAUGAAAGCUUUAGAAAAGCAUGAAAGUAAAGUUGCCGAGCACCAAAAGAAUAUAGCAAACAUAAAACAACACGCAUCAGAUCUACAGACUUUCCUAGCUCUGAAACAGAUUGAAAGUGAUGUUGAUAAAAAUUGUCAGUUUAUUGAUUCAAUUACUGAAAGUAAUGUUCUUAAUCGUGUGGAGAUCAAGUUUAACAUUACUACAUCACUGACUGACAUUGAAAAUAGUGUUCUUGAGUUUGGAAAAGUAUUUAUUGACAUCUCUAAUAGCUCAGUGAACAUUGUGAAGAAAAAGCAACAACAAGCUCAGUUGAUAUUACCUAAAGUAUCAUCAAUUGUGCCCAUUGAGAAUAUACAAGUCAAGUUAGAACAGACUAUAUAUACCAAAUCAUCCUUUGCUAGUGGAUGUUGCAUAUUGCCUGAUAGUAGGUUUGUAUUCGCCUGUCCUGAAUUAAACAAAGUUACUGUAGUUAAACAAGACGGGACGGUUGACUUUGUUUUGAAUGUAACAGCAGCAAAUGAUGUAGCGUACAACGAUAAAGAUAACACUAUAGCGAUAACAUCCUUUUGGAGAAGCAUUGGCAAUCAAAUAACAAUAAUCGAUUUAUUUAAACGAAAAGUAGAGAAAACUUUUUCACCUGGAGGACAAACCGAUGGCAUAGCAGUGACAAAUAACACACUGCUGUAUCACAUAUACAAUAAAUCAAUUCGGGUCAUGGAUCUGACUGACGAAUCAACACGUGAUAUAACUACUGAGCACAUGGACACAGAAAUCAACAUAACAAUAUCUGGACACAAACUUUAUUAUUCCAGUUAUAAUUAUCAUACAGUAAUAUGCUGCGAUCUGCAAGGUACAACACAAUGGACAUUCAAAAAUGAAAAAGUUUUAGCGAAACCACUUGGAAUAUCAGCUGACAAUGCUGGUAACGUGUAUGUUGCAGGAUUUCAAUCAAAUAAUGUCGUGGUUAUCUCCCCUGAUGGACAAACACAUAGAGAACUCUUAACUGAAAGAGAUGGUUUAUAUUACCCAUGUUCAAUUAACUUUAGAAAGGAAACUAAUCAGUUAUUAGUUACAAAUAAUUCUAAGAAAGCGUAUUUGUAUAACGUAUCUAGUAAUUAAACCACUUCAAUAUUAUAUCUUAAUGCAGUAUUGAAUGAAAUGGAGAAUAAAAGAUACAUAUAUACAAAAAAAAACACAUAGUUGCAUGGAAACACAAUUGCUAGUAAAAUGUACUUUAUAGAACAGCCCGGAUUUUUCCUGAUAUUCAGAAUUGAAACCAGGAAAUUGAUUGUUUAUACAAGCAUUUGAAUGAUUAGGUUAAGUGCUUCUCUCACAGUUGGUGUCCACUGAUGUUAUAAAAAAAACACGGAUGUUCAUUUGGUCAAGAUUAUUUAACUUACAGUUUCUACACUAAAUACAUUAUAUUUU